ensembl:lncRNA
GAGUGAGAGAGGGAAAGAGAGAGAGAGGGAGGGAGAGAGAGAGAGAGGGAGGGCUAGGUACACUGCUGCAGUAGACUCUCCAGCUCAGGUCUGACUGGCUGACUGCGCCGCUCCGCUCUGCAGGAGGACCAGCGAGAGAGAGAGCGAGAGAGCGAGAGAGCGAGAGAGGGAGAGAGCGAGGGAGGGAGGGAAAAACAGAGCAAGCACGAGAGAGGUCCUGAGAGUAGCUGUGCUUCAGCGGGACCUGCAGCAGCAGCAGCAGCAGCAGCAGCAGGAGGAGCAGGAGGAGCAGCAGGAGCAGGAGCACUGAGGCGAGAGAAGAGAAGAAGGAGAAGCAUCUCUGAUCUCCGGCACCCGUAGCCCAGCAGCGGCAGCAGCUGACCGGCGGACGCAAACAUGGCACAAGCCGCCAAACAUCUCCGCAAAAACAAGGACUUGGAGAUUGCGCUCGAGGCAGAGCGCAAGGAGAAGGAGGAGGAGAAAGCCAGGAGGAGGAACCGCUCCAGAGACAAGAAGCGCAAGGCCCAGGCGGUUCAGCGCUGGCUAACCCAUCAGGAGUGUAGUAGUGGCUCUGAGCUGCCGGAGGGACAGGGAGUGUGGGACUGUGAUGAUGAAACAGUAAAUAUCAGCAACACGUAUACCUGACUUUUCUUCUUAUUAAUAUCUAUAUAUAUAUAUAUCUGUGGCCACACUGUAUCUGUCUCUAGAUACGCUUGUUGUCGCUGUUGUUGUUGUUGUUGUUGUUGUUUUUCUGCUGUGCAGCUAAGUGUGUGGUUGUGUGUGUGUGUGUGUGUGUGUAGUGUGGUGUUCAGUUUUGGUGGGGUUCAGUGUUGCUGUUGUGCUGUGACUGGCUGACUUAACACGGUGGUGAUGUCUGGCUGGACACUUUUUUUUUUUUCUUCUGUUCUCUUUUUUUUUCGUAAACCACCUGGUCCUUUUCUUUUAAAAGCACUUUCUGUUUGGAUUUGACUUUUGGGUCGGUUGCUUUUCUGUGCUGUGACUUCUGUGUUCUGUGCGUUUCCACUUUGCCUCAGGUUCAUUUGAGGUGUGACCCAAAAAGAGUCCACAGGCAAAAUACAUUGCGAUACAUGUUUCAAUUUAUAAAACUAACAAACUUGUUUUAGCCAUACUACUUUGGAGACAGACUGGUGAAAAGGAAGGCAUAGUUAUUUUGCCUGUGGGAUCUUAACAUUUUUUAAAUAUUGAAACAUUUGUGAACAUGAUUGCGUGUAUUCCUCACAAUAAACAAUUGUGUGAAGUAUAUAUACGCUGUGUAGAGUGAAAUUAAGUUGACCCUUUAUUACAAGUGUUCCUGCAUGCUGUUGUUGUCAGUGUGUUAGUAUUUUAAUUCCAUGUCUGCAUGCUGUGUGUUUAGUGAGUGAUGUGCCAUUUGUGUUUUGUCACCAUCGGGG